UACGGAGGGGGCUAGCGGUGUUCGGAAUUACUGGGCGUAAAGCGCACGUAGGCGGCUUUGUAAGUUAGAGGGGAAAGCCCGGGGCUCAACUCCGGAAUUGCCUUUAAGACUGCAUCGCUAGAAUUGUGGAGAGGUAAGUGGAAUUCCGAGUGUAGAGGUGAAAUUCGUAGAUAUUCGCAAGAACACCAGUGGCGAAGGCGGCUCACUGGCCCGGUACUGACGCUGAGGUGCGAAAGCGUGGGGAGCAAACAGG
rnacentral:rRNA from 1 species